GGGCCCGAGCAGAGCGGGGAGAGCUGGGAGGGGCGCGGGUGCGGGAUCCCUGGGGGCGGAAGAGGUUGGGGAGCCGGGAAAGCGGGGUUCGGGCCGCACCCGGGGUCCGCUCCGUCCGUUUGCGGCCUCCCGCCCCCGCGCCCUGCGGCUCGCGCCCCGGAGACUUCUGCGCAGGGACCCGCGGCUCAAGAUGGAGCUGGACCCUUCCCCUCGCCACCCUCCCGCGGCCGCGGCGGGGCGAGUGGGAGUCCCUCCCCGCUCUGCAAUUUCAGAAUACUGCUUUCCACUGCAAAGCCAAAGGCAGAUGGUGGUCUGGGACUCCACGGUGCAAAUCAUCAAGAAGCAAAAAACUGAACGAACCACAGAAAUAUGCAUAACAGGUAAAGAUGAGAAGAAAAACAAGAGGUCCUUGGCCAGCCUAACAGACAAGCUCCCCAGUGUCUUGUGCUGCUCUGGCAUCUUUGCCUGAACCUGGCCUCUGUGGAGAUUAAUUUCCUCUGGCAGGAACACAGGCUCAGCUACCCCAGCUAAAAGGCGAGAUGGGGAUGGAUUGGACCUUACAGAAGGACCAGAGAGGCAAGAGUGUCCAGCUUCCAGAGCAAGACAAUUCAGGGGGAACUCAUUGAAGAGGCAAUGGAGGAGUUUAGCCUCAGCUGUGGUGGGUAAGUAAAUGCCUACUUGAUGGACAGUCAUACAGCUUACAGCUCCAGAUUCUAAGUAAAAUAAAAUACAAAACCAAAACAGAAGCAUGAACAAAUGACCCAAACAAACUUCCGGGAGGCUCUGAAGAGUGAAGGGAGGCAAGGAGGCAGAUUCCAGAAGGAAGCCAACACUUGGAAGAAGGAAAAGGGGUGAAAAAAAACGCCUGUUUCUGUGGCUCUUCCCCCUAAGGUUACUACUGCUUAGGAACAAUGGAUUCUCCUGUAGAAACCAAUCCUUGUGGGCUGAAGAACCAGAGGACAGAGUCUGGAACAAUCACAGUCACUGAAAGUAGAGAGGAGGGGUCUAACAACAGACAAGACCAGAGAGGAGCAUCCCCAAAUUCGGGGUAUCAAUUCUGCCCACAUUUUUGGAAGACUGAUGGACCACAUAGGCAUGGGAGUAAAAGAACUGAACUAAAUUAAGCUGCAGCCCAGGACGUAGCUUUCUAACUGGACCAAGUUGCUCGCCAGCCAAACCUAAGAAGUUAACACUUUUCAGAGGAAUGUAACAGAACCCAGAAUCACCACAGAAUUCAGAAUUCUCACAGAAUCUUCUUGCAGAAGAUAAUCCAUAAUUAUUUGACAUCCAGAAGCCAGGAACAUGUGGAAACAGAGCCUAAAACCUCCUCCUUUGGCCAGCCUGAUGAUUUUUCUUAGUGCUCAUUCCUGUGUUAGAUAACUAUGUUUGAAGGAUUUACAGUAGCUCCUGUUUCUUGCUCUGUUCCUUGGCUAAAACAAGGCCAGCUAGUAGGUAUUUUGAAUUCCUAUAACCAAGAGAAAGUGAUCAUAGGACCCAGAGGAGAAACUGCAGGGUGCAUGCUUUCAUAUAGAGGGAUACUACAUGAUUUUAAGGCUCGUAGAGGCAAGUGAACUUCAGUGAAAACCUUGCCUUUCCGUCUCUUCACUGUAAAGGAUCUUCUUUCUUUCCUUUUCUCCAUCUUCCCUCCUCCUCAUCUCUGCUGAACGUGAGUACCAAGUGUUCAUGGAGCCCUAGUGGAACUUAAAAGCUGCUAAUGAUAGGGGAAGAAAAAAGAAGAACACUUCACCGGGAGAGCAGCUGAAUGGUCCAGAGAAGGUGGGGAGACCCGCCUCAACUCUUGCCGUCGUGCCAGGAUAGGGAAACCGAGAGAUGCUUCUGGAAGUCUGGAUGUGGACCCCAGAACUGGUCGGAAAAGAUGCUCUGCACCUAAAGGAGGAAAGAGAAACCAGACUGCCCAGUGGCUUCCAGCGAGGCCGACCACAGAGUCAGAAGACAACACAGAGGCUCCUUAGCUCUGUCCCCCGCUCAAGGUAGGGCCUAGAAGCUGUGCUCACCCCCAGGCCCACGUGGUGGCUUCUGUGAGCUUGAACCACGUGAGCUCAGAGAAGCAGACCACAGAGUGACGGCUCCUGGGCUAACAGGUGUAUGACUCACCAGCUUGACCACCUCAGUAGAGAAGAUCUCUCUCUCUCCUGGUUGCUGAAACCCCAGGCCCCAAUAGGGUUGCUGUUAACAGAAGGAAAAAGAAUCCCAGGUGAGCCAAAUUGUCAUCCAAAGGUUUUCCUGUGACAGUGGUGCCCGUAUUUCUUGUUCUUUUUUUGCAAAUUAAUAGAUUUUAAAUAUUCAGCGAACUAUAAAUUGCAAUCAGUGGUGGCUAUAAUUUCAUAUAAGAAAGAAUCUUCUGAUUUUUAAAAGGCUGGGCAGGACAGAAUGGAAGAAGAAGGCACAGGCUCGCAGAGGUGGGCAGGGGAGGGGCAUGGUAUCCCGCCACGUGGUGUCUAUGCCUUGUGUCUGCUCCUGCUCCGGUGGGAGCUCUCUCGGGCUCCGGGUGGAGAUGGCAGUUUGCACAGCACUGCCUUUUGACAGGCUGCCCCUGAAUGGCCCGCACCCAGGAGACCUGCAGGUGUCUUCUUUCAUCUAGAGGCGUGCGGUGAUAUUUAUCACAGUGCUACAGCAAGAUUUCUCCAUUAAUAAACUGGGCAGCCUCCUGUGACUUGCCGGACAAGA